rnacentral:SRP_RNA from 1 species
GCCAGGCUCAGUGGCACGUGCCUGUAGUCCCAGCUACUCAGGAGGCCGAGGCAGGAGGAUCACUUGAGUCCUAGAGUUCUGGGCUGUAGUGAGCUAUGCCGGUCGCAUGUCCACACUAAGUUUGGCAUCAAUAUAGUGACCUCGCGGGAGUGGGCAACCAUCAAGUUGCCUAAGGAGGGGUGAACCAGCCCAGGUCAGAAACCUAGCAGGUCAAAAGUCCUGUGCUGAUCAGUAGUGGGAUCACACCUGUGAAGAGCCACUGCACUCCAGCCUGGGCAACAUAGUCAGAUCCUGUCUCU